AGCAAAACACGGAGGAAAGUGCUGAAAAAUGCUUUCUUUUACACACUUCAAAGCUAAAAGAAAGCUAAAAAUCACUCGAAGAGUAGAUCUAAAUGAUUAAUGAACAUUUUGAGGCCUUAAAAAGGCUUGCAAGAAGUAUACAUGUACAUAAUAUUGUGUGCUAGACAUGCAAUUGUACAAAGAAUACAGCACAACCUUCCAUAUGCACCACUGAUAUGCACAGUAAAACCAUGUUAAUAAUGGCUGACCAUGACAUACCACAGUAUGAUGUGAAUACUACAGUCAGCCAAGGGAACUAUUGCAAUGAUAUUCAGCUUGACAGCAAUCAUGAUACCAUUGAUGUGAUAUGUUAGUCUCACUAACACCAUGUCAAGCUACAGCCAUCAACCAAGUGGCAGACCUAUACCAUAGUCUGCCAAACCGAAAAACCUUCCUGGAAGCUCUGAAGGAUGCUAAAUUACAAUACCAAAGAAAAUGAACAAGAGAGGAGAGAAAAAAGAGCGGAAAGAAAAAAUGAGAGAAAUGGAGUGCAGUUAUCAUUCUAGGUUUCAAUAAGACUGCACUCCAAAAAACAAAAACUUAGAUUUUUUUUUGGCUGGGGAGCUGACUACUUUUUAUAGAAUAAGUUUCUGGCUUAUGACAAGCCUUUGUUUUGCUGCUAGAGUAGACAAUUUUAAGACCUAUAGUAAAGUAAAGAAAAAGGUCUUUGGUCAGUUCCCCAGCCCAGAGCAGUAGAUACAAGAGAGUGUCCGUCUAUAGAUGUUUUUAUAGGGUUAUGGAUUUUUUAAUGCCUUGUCAAUUUCAAUAUAUUGUCCAAGCUUCAAGAAGUGCUUUCAGAGAGUACAGGUUAAUAGCAUCCUCAAAGAUUUUGAAGUGAUUCUCAGGACACUCUCUUGUAUCUAMUGCUCUUGUUUGCAAAAGUCAAUAAACUUCAUGCCUCCCACGAGGCCCUGCCAGCACCAAAAGAGAAGCCACCCCACAUGCAGGCCAGAAAAUCUUAACRAUAGUCUCGCUGCCCUGACUAGAGCCAAGUUAUAAGGCCAAGACCAGCAAACUUUAGRCUGCCCUGAUACUGGAGACUGACUGUAUGGAUGUCAGACCUCCACCCACUGCAGACUCCAGGGAGGAACUCUGCUGUCACUCAAGUCAGAAAAUAAGGUGAGGGUCAGUGCAAAUGUGAGUCUUGGGUAAUCCCACCCCACCACCCACUGAAUGUGCAUGUCGGCGAUGUAUUGGGUGAUCAGUAAGCUUGAAGUGAUGCUUCAUUCAGACUUCUCCAAACUAAGUGAUUAUCGAUCUGACAUGGAAGACUAAAAAUCAUUUUUUCUGGGAUAAUAUUGUGGGUUGAAAUGUUGUUGGCGACUGAUAAAAUGRCCUCUACCACAGAUUGUAAUUUAAUUGAWGUUUUUUCACCAGCAAAGUGAAGACCUCAGAUCCUUAAACCUUUAAAUUUAACCUGGAAAAGUAAACUGCAAACAAAGAUAUAAACAACACUCCUUUAUGAGAAAAACAGUGCAAAAUGUUUGAAAGUAUCACUGAAAAAGAAAAACAAGAAAUUAUGAAACUGUCACCUUGUCAAAUUAUCAAAUAAAAAAGGCAAACUUAGAAUACUCUAUUAGUCCGAUGAUAUUACACUGUGAAAUCGCAGAACAGCRUUUGUUGAAAAAUUGGUUCACCAUAAUAUAUGAGUCAUUAUCGGA